rnacentral:snRNA from 1 species
AUUUUGCUUUAACUGACUAACUAAAAGGAAUGAUACAGAGAAGAUUAGCAUGGCCCCUGGGCAAGGAUGAAAGGCAAGCUCAUGAAGCAUUCUAUAUUUUU